GGCCCCGUAGCUCAACUGUAUAGAGUAUCUGACUACGGAUCAGAAGGUUAAAGGUUAGAAUCCUUUCGGGGUCACUA
rnacentral:tRNA from 1 species